rfam:Oryza glumipatula chromosome 8, whole genome shotgun sequence.
UUUAAGUGCAGCCAUAAGUUUUCGCGUCUAACUUUAAUCAUCUUUCUUAUUUAAAAUUUUUUUCUAAUUAGUAUUUUUGUUGUUAUGAGAUGAUAAAACGUGAAUAGUACUUUACUCCUGACUUAUGUUUUUAAAUUUUUUUAAAAAUUUUUUAAAUAAAACGAACGGUUAAAAUUGAGCACGAAAAACCAAAGCUGCACUUAAA